rnacentral:lncRNA from 1 species
AUUGCGAUAUUGUAAUUUAUCUUUGCGAGAUUUGGAUUUCGAGAAAAUAUUUAUCAUAAUCUUAAAUUUCUAUCAAUAGUAAUCGGUUGGUGAAAAUAUAUCGCGGAUGUAGAUUUGAAGGGGAAAUCAAAGGCUUAUCUCUUACCCCCUAUAAAAGCAACCGUGUACGAGGGAGUUUGAAGGGGGCUUCUCUGGAGAAAAAAAUUCAGAAAAGAAAAAAAGUAAAAGAGAGAAGGGAUUUUGAAGGGGGAAGCGGCCGAAACAGUAAAGGUUGAUUUGACCUUUACUGUUCAUCAUCUUCCCCCAAAGCACCUCCGCCCCACUCACCGCUCCUGCAACUCUGCACCGAAGCACCUCCGCGCCACAGCGACACCAGCCGCUUCUGUAACCCGAGCGCCCCAGCUCUGCCUCUGCCGUCGCGACACGAAGCCCGCCGGACGCCGAACCUCUUCACCUGCCGCGCCGCAGCCUCUGCAACUUCCAUCCGUGAAGACCCCCGCACCCACUGCCGCUUCGCCAGCAUCCCGAUCGGCGACCGACGUUGCCCGCCGGACGCUGCAGUCUUGCCACAUCGACGCUGGCUGGAAGUCGAGGCCAGCCGCGGCCACCUCGCUCGAAGCCCCGCGUUGUCCGCCCGAGCUCUCCCGUUCGUGCCGUGCUAACCCACGAUUUCGGUGACCCGUUGCCGCCCAACGCCUUUCCGCGCCUGAAUCGCGACGCCUGCUGCUUGGAGCCAAAGACCCGCGAUCCACCUGCUGUUCGGAGACGAAAACCCGAGCCAGAUCUGCCCACCGCCUGCACCGCGUCGGCUCCGAGCCUCCCCCGAAGCUGCUGCCGAUCCGAGCUUGACUGCCCCGAACCCGCCGGAGCUCCUCAUCGCAGCCACCAGAGGUCUCCCGCCGUCCCUGCAGCGCCCCGCCGGCUGAAGCCCGUGAUCCGAGCGCCCCGACGCAGCCCCCGCGACGCAGGCCCGUGCCGCCCCGAUGCCGCCUCCGCUUCGCCUCCAGGCCGAGCAGACCCGCGACGCUCCCUACUGCCUCGCUGCCGACACGCCGCUCCGGAGCUUCGCCGGAACCCUAGCCGGUGAUUCCCCCCUCGCCGGACCGGCCACCAGCUUUAUUUUUCUUUUUCUUUUUUAGAAAAAAAAAAGAAAAGGAAAAAGAGAAAAGCAAAAGAAAAUUUAGGUAUUUUCUUUAUCUUAUUUUUGUUUUAUUAUUUUUGCUAUUUUAUCUCUUUAGUGAAAUUGUUCCCUUUAAAUAUGUGAUUGAGAUCCCAAUAUGAAAGUCCCUCAGGUUAGGGAUUGACAGUUCGAUUUUCACGCCCGAAAUCCGACUUGCAAUCCCUUAUAAAAAUCGACAAUCCAAUCUCAAGCCCGAGAUUUGAUUCGCGAUUUAAAAUUAAAAUUGGUCUACCCGAUCUCAUGCGCGAGAUAUGGUUCGCCAAUUUUUU